rnacentral:lncRNA from 1 species
CUAGCAGGACCAAGAUGGGACCUCCUGUCACUCUCCUUCUCCUCUCUCUCUCUGCCGUCACUCUCCUUCUCCUCUCUCUCUGCCGUCACUCUCCUUCUCCUCUCUCUCUCUGCCGUCACUCUCUUUCUCCUCUCUCUCUCUGCCGUCACUCUCCUUCUCCUCUCUCUCUCUGCCGUCACUCUCCUUCUCCUCUCUCUCUCUGCCGUCACUCUCCUUCUCCUCUCUCUCUGCCGUCACUCUCCUUCUCCUCUCUCUCUCUGCCGUCACUCUCCUUCUCCUCUCUCUCUCUGCUGUCACUCUCCUUCUCCUCUCUCUCUCUGCUGUCACUCUCCUUCUCCUCUCUCUCUCUGCCGUCACUCUCCUUCUCCUCUCUCUCUCUGCCGUCACUCUCCUUCUCUCUCUCACUGCCGUCACUCUCCUUCUCCUCUCUCUCUCUGCCGUCACUCUCCUUCUCUCUCUCACUGCCGUCACUCUCCUUCUCCUCUCUCUCUCUGCCGUCACUCUCCUUCUCCUCUCUCUCUGCCGUCACUCUCCUUCUCCUCUCUCUCUGCCGUCACUCUCCUCCUCUCUCUCUCUGCUGGCACACUCCUUCUCCUCUCUCUCUCUGCUGUCACUCUCCUCCUCUCUCUCUCUGCUGUCACUCUCCUUCUCCUCUCUCUCUGCUGUCACUCUCCUCCUCCCUCUCUCUGCUGGCAAACUCCUUCUCCUCUCUCUCUCUGCCGUCACUCUCCUUCUCCUCUCUCUCUCUGCUGUCACUCUCCUUCUCCUCUCUCUCUCUGCUGUCACUCUCCUCUCUCUCUCUGCUGUCACUCUCCUUCUCCUCUCUCUCUGCUGUCACUCUCCUCCUCCCUCUCUCUGCUGGCAAACUCCUUCUCCUCUCUCUCUCUGCUGUCACUCUCCUUCUCCUCUCUCUCUGCUGUCACUCUCCUCUCACUCACUCCUCUUCCUCUCCUAUCACUCUCCUCCCCUCCUAUCACUCUCCUCCUCCCCUUUCAUUCUCCUCUCCUAUCAUUCUCCUCUUCUCCUCUCCUCUCCUCCUAUCACUUUCAUUUCCAUGUGUUUUCUUAAUGAGAGUCUGGAGAAACCAGUUCCUAAAAUAGAAACACAUAUUGUGAAGAAUGUGUUCAUGAGCAGUUGUCUGCAUGUUUGUGCUCU